rnacentral:tRNA from 1 species
GCGCCGCUAGCUCAAUUGGCAGAGCAACGGACUCUUAAUCCGUGGGUUCGGGGUUCAAGUCCCUGGCGGCGCA